ensembl:snRNA U6 U6 spliceosomal RNA
GUGCUCACUCCGGCAGCACAUAUACUAAAAUUGGAAUGAUGCAGGGAAGAUUAGCAUGGCCUCUGGGAAAGGAUGACACAGAAAUUCAUGGAGUGUCCCAUAUUUUU